rnacentral:rRNA from 1 species
AGAGUUUGAUCAGUGGCUCGAGGACGAACGCUGGCGGCGUGCCUAACACGUGCAAGUCGAGCGGGGUCCAUCCGGUAGCAAUACCGGGGAAGACCUAGCGGCGAACGGGUGAGUAACACGUGAGAAACCUGCCCGAAGUCUGGGAUAACCCGAGGAAACUCGAGCUAAUACCGGAUGUCUUCUUCUGAUCGCAUGGUCGGAUGAAGAAAGAUUUAUCGCCUCGGGAGGGUCUCGCGGCCUAUCAGCUAGUUGCGGGGUAACGGCCCACCAAGGCGUCGACGGGUAGCUGGUCUGAGAGGACGAUCAGCCACACUGGGACUGAGACACGGCCCAGACUCCUACGGGAGGCAGCAGUGGGGAAUAUUGCGCAAUGGGCGAAAGCCUGACGCAGCAACGCCGCGUGCGGGAUGAAGGCCUUCGGGUUGUAAACCGCUUUCAGUGGGGACGAAUUCAGACGGUACCCACAGAAGAAGCCCCGGCCAACUACGUG